UGUCAUACCUAUUAUUACUCCCAGCGUAAUUAACGUUAUGUAAUAAUUUUUUACGUAGGAAUCAAAGGUUGAGGAUCAUCAUGUGUGAAUGGGAGAAGUAAUUCCCCUUGUCCACUGACAUGAACGCUUAAUUAUUAAGAUAAAUAAAUGAGAUUAGGCUUGGUAAUAAUAUAAAUGGGCACACAUUUACACUCGUGCUCACAACAAUUUAAAGCCACGACAAUGAAAGUUCUUCUUUUUCUCUGUGUUUUUACCGUAAUUGCUGUGCACGCACAACAAUGUGGACGGAACGAAGAGUACACAACUUGUGGAUCAUCAUGUCAAGAAAGGUGUUCGAGAAGAGCUAAUACCGUUUGUACGCUGAAUUGCCAACGUGGGUGUUUUUGUCGUAGAGGAUUUUUAAGAAAUCGAAAUGGUGUUUGCGUACCGGAAAGCCAGUGCUCGUAAUUUUUUGUAAUUAAAACGCUACCUCCUAAUUAAAAUUUAUGGACAAACACCUACUUCAAACUAUAA